rfam:Ricinus communis cultivar Hale ctg_1100012312093, whole genome shotgun sequence.
AAAUUAUGAUGCGGCUAUUAAAUCAAAUAGACCUUAAAUCUUUCCCAAACAUCAUAAAAAGAUUCUCCUUCUUUUCGAGUAAAAUUACAAAUCCUUGACUUAUAAUCU